rnacentral:rRNA from 1 species
GACGAACGCUGGCGGCGUGCUUAACACAUGCAAGUCGAACGGAAAGGCCCUGCUUUUGUGGGGUGCUCGAGUGGCGAACGGGUGAGUAACACGUGAGUAACCUGCCCUUGACUUUGGGAUAACUUCAGGAAACUGGGGCUAAUACCGGAUAGGAGCUCCUGCUGCAUGGUGGGGGUUGGAAAGUUUCGGCGGUUGGGGAUGGACUCGCGGCUUAUCAGCUUGUUGGUGGGGUAGUGGCUUACCAAGGCUUUGACGGGUAGCCGGCCUGAGAGGGUGACCGGCCACAAUGGGACUGAGAGACGGCACAGACUGGUACGGGAGGCAGCAGUGGGGAAUAUUGCACAAUGGGCGGAAGCCUGAUGCAGCAACGCCGCGUGCGGGAUGACGGCCUUCGGGUUGUAAACCGCUUUCGCAGGUGACGAAGAGUGAGUGACGGUAAUGGGUAAAGAAGCACCGGCUAACUACGUG